rnacentral:rRNA from 1 species
AUUGAACGCUGGCGGCAGGCCUAACACAUGCAAGUCGAGCGGAUGAAGGGAGCUUGCUCCUGGAUUCAGCGGCGGACGGGUGAGUAAUGCCUAGGAAUCUGCCUGGUAGUGGGGGAUAACGUCCGGAAACGGGCGCUAAUACCGCAUACGUCCUGAGGGAGAAAGUGGGGGAUCUUCGGACCUCACGCUAUCAGAUGAGCCUAGGUCGGAUUAGCUAGUUGGUGGGGUAAAGGCCUACCAAGGCGACGAUCCGUAACUGGUCUGAGAGGAUGAUCAGUCACACUGGAACUGAGACACGGUCCAGACUCCUACGGGAGGCAGCAGUGGGGAAUAUUGGACAAUGGGCGAAAGCCUGAUCCAGCAAUGCCGCGUGUGUGAAGAAGGUCUUCGGAUUGUAAAGCACUUUAAGUUGGGAGGAAGGGAAGUAAGUUAAUACCUUGCUGUUUUGACGUUACCAACAGAAUAAGCACCGGCUAACUUCGUG